rnacentral:rRNA from 1 species
GUAGGGGAGCAAACGUUGUCCGGAUUUAUUGGGCGUAAAGGGCUCGUAGGCGGGUUCAACAAGUCGGUCGUGUAAAACCCGGGGGGCUCAACCCCGGGGACGCCGGUCGAAACUGUUGUGACUAGAGUUCGGUAGAGGUGAGUGGAAUUCUCGGUGUAGCGGUGGAAUGCGCAGAUAUCGAGAGGAACACCAUUAGCGAAGGCGGCUCACCGGGCCGAUACUGACGCUGAGGAGCGAAAGCGUGGGGAGCAAACAGGAUUAGAUACCCUGGUAGUCCACGCCGUAAACGAUGAACACUAGGUGUGGCGGACUGAUUCAUGUCGGCUGCGCCGUAGCUAACGCAUUAAGUGUUCCGCCUGGGGAGUACGGCCGCAAGGCUA